CUACGGGACGCAGCAGUGGGGAAUAUUGGACAAUGGGGGAAACCCUGAUCCAGCAAUGCCGCGUGUGUGAAGAAGGCCUGCGGGUUGUAAAGCACUUUCGGUUGGGAGGACUGCUUCUAGCACUAAUAUUGUUGGAAGUUGACGUUACCUUCAGAAGAAGCACCGGCUAACUCCGUGCCAGCAGCCGCGGUAAUACGGAGGGUGCAGGCGUUAAUCGGAAUUACUGGGCGUAAAGCGCGCGUAGGCGGCUAGAUCAGUCGGGUGUGAAAGCCCCGGGCUUAACCUGGGAACUGCAUCCGAUACUGUCUAGAUUGAGUACAGGAGAGGAGAGUGGAAUUCCACAUGUAGCGGUGAAAUGCGUAGAUAUGUGGAGGAACACCAAUGGCGAAGGCAGCUCUCUGGCCUGAUACUGACGCUGAGAUGCGAAAGCGUGGGGAGCAAACAGGAUUAGAUACCCCAGUAGUC
rnacentral:rRNA from 1 species